UCCUGGAUGGUCCUGGAUGGUCCUGGGUGGUCCUGGAAGGUCCUGGAUGGUCCUGGGUGGUCCUGGAAGGUCCUGGAAGGUCCUGGAUGGUCCUGGAUGGUCCUGGCAGGUCUGGAAGAGUCCCUCCUGACACAUGGAGGACAAACCGUGGACUCCUCUGAACCCUCAGGACUUUCUGAAGACCUCUGCCUGGGGGGGGGGCAUGGGAGAGUGAGGCCCACCCUGCCGUGCGCUCACAUCCUGGCCGUGCACGUCCAGCAGCUGCAGAUCAGUGUGUUCACGCUCACUACGGGGGGCGUGCAAUGGUGCAAUGUCAGGUACCGAUCUGGAGCCGUUCAUGCAGCAACUGGAGCAAAAAAAAAAAAAAAAAAAGGAAA